UAACAUAUAUUCAUUAAUUAUUUUAGUUAUGUAGGUAUGUAUGCAACUCUAUAUUGUACAGAACGCACAGACACAAAUAUGGCACAUUUUGGUAAUGGUAUUAGACAAAGAGAUUGAGAUCAAUGAUCAUACCUUGGUUUCGCUUUCAGACAGGUCGGUAGUAUCACUAGCUUUCCGUUCUUCUAAUCUUAAACUUUAUUUUCUUUCCUUUUCAGUCUACAACUACCUAGGCCCUAUAGGUCUCUGGAACGCGGCCCUAGCUCUUCUUCUGCUAGGGUACUACGGAAGGUAUCGCUUCUGGAGCUCCAGCGGGCACGGUAGAGGAGGUCUUCUACCAGGUGGCAGAGUAGGGGGGAUAGUGGGCAAGUGUCCACCGAAGAAGAAAGUGGAACCGCCGCCGCCCUGCUGCGCGAGCUGCAAGUGUUUUGAUCAGCCUAGGAUUUUGAAGCACCGAUUGAAAUGGCCCGAAGACCCAAAACCCUGCCACUGAUCGUUAAGAUAAAUACUACUACAAAAAAUCAAGAUAACCAAAGAAAUAAAAGUUUUAGAGGUAUAUACCUAUUUUUUGAUCAUAAUAAUGGAAAUUAUGUGAAUAUAUUUUUUAUUAUAUA